UGCAAGAUGUCUGAGAUGACCACUGCCAUCCAUGUCCAAGCUGCUCUGCUCAGGACACGAACUGUAUUCCAAUGGCAGACGCAAGCUUCACCAGAUCUCAGGGAGGUCACUGCAUUUGUCAAGGCUGGGCAAGGCCUCAAACUGAAGAUUUUAGGGGUGAAUUUGAAAGCAUUUCUGUCCCAUUGAAAUAGAAUAAUGUAAUGAGGUUGCUUGCUGGCCUUCUCUCCCUGUCAGAAGGAGAUUAAUACAGAAGCUGCCUCCUCCAGUCUUGCUAGUAAAUAUUCACUGAGCCAUUCCACAGAGAGAUUUGAUCCUGAUUCUGGAAACAUACAUGCAGCCUCGCUGUGAACCAUGGGGAUUCAGGUCAGCAGAAGUGCUUUUGCCUUUCUCCACAAAUCUGAGAAGCACAUGAAGGGAGAAUUAAUCCUAAAAAGG